GAGAACGACCAUACCAACAUGACAGCACCGCUUCCCGUCUGCUCAGCGAAGUUAAGCAUGUUCGGGCCCAGUUAGUACUACGGUGGGGGACCACGUUGGAAUCCUGGGUGUUGUUCUCU
rfam:Fragilariopsis cylindrus CCMP1102 unplaced genomic scaffold FRACYscaffold_26, whole genome shotgun sequence.